rnacentral:rRNA from 1 species
ACCGGCGAACGGGUGCGUAACACGUGAGCGACCUGCCCACUUGUGGGGUAUAGCCGGCCCAACGGCCGGGUAAUCCCGCAUACGCUUCUCUGGCUGCAUGGCCGGGGGAGGAAAGCCGUAAGGCGCAAGUGGAGGGGCUCGCGGCCUAUCAGCUAGUUGGCGGGGUAACGGCCCACCAAGGCGAUGACGGGUAGCUGGUCUGAGAGGAUGGCCAGCCACAUUGGGACUGAGAUACGGCCCAGACUCCUACGGGAGGCAGCAGUGGGGAAUCUUGCGCAAUGGUCGAAAGACUGACGCAGCGACGCCGCGUGCGGGAGGAAGCCCUUCGGGGUGUAAACCGCUGUUACUCGGGACGAACUUCUCGAUUCAUCGAGAUUGACGGUACCGGGGGAGGAGGCACCGGCUAACUCUGUGCCAGCAGCCGCGGUAAUACAGAGGGUGCGAGCGUUGUCCGGAAUCACUGGGCGUAAAGGGCGCGUAGGCGGCUUUUCAAGCGUGCGGUGAAAGCUCGGGGCUUAACUCCGAGUCUGCCGUGCGAACUGGGAGGCUUGAGUCUGGUAGAGGUCGAUGGAAUUCCGGGUGUAGCGGUGGAAUGCGUAGAGAUCCGGAAGAACACCGGUGGCGAAGGCGGUCGACUGGGCCAGAACUGACGCUGAGGCGCGACAGCGUGGGGAGCAACAGGAUUAGAUACCCUGGUAGUCCACGCCGUAAACGAUGGGCACUAGGUCCUUGGGGGAGCGACCCCCUGAGGGCCGGCGCUAACGCAUUAAGUGCCCCGCCUGGGGAGUACGGCCGCAAGGCUGAAACUCAAAGGAAUUGACGGGGGCCCGCACAAGCGGUGGAGCAUGUGGUUUAAUUCGACGCAACGCGAAGAACCUUACCUGGGCUUGACAUGCACGGGAACUCGUGGGGAAACCCGCGGGGCUCUUCGGAGCUCGUGCACAGUGCUGCAUGGCUGUCGUCAGCUCGUGUCGUGAGAUGUUGGGUUAAGUCCCGCACGAGCGCACCCUUGGGACUAGUUGCAGCGAGUCAUGUCGGGGACUCUAGUCGACUGCGUGCAACGAGAGGUGGGGGACGACGUCAGUCAUCAUGGUCCAUUACAUUCCAAGGCUUAACACCACGCUGUCCUAACAAUGUGGAAUGGGUUAUCCAAAAACCAUCCUCAGUUCGGAUUGAAGUCUGCAACUCGACUUCAUGAAGUUGGAGUCGCUAGUAAUCGCAAAUCAGCAUGUUGCGGUGAAUACGUUCCCGGGUCUUGUACACACCGCCCGUCACACCAUGGGAGUUGGUCUUACCUGAAGACGGUGUUCUGACCCGCAAGGGAGGAAGCCGGCCACGGUAAGGUCAGCGACUGGGGUGAAGUCGUAACAAGGUAGCCGUAGGGGAACCUGCGGCUGGAUCACCUCCUUAGCUAGACUUUGAUCCUGGCUCAGGAUGCGGCUGGAUCACC